UCCCAUUGGCUGAAUCCAAGCAGACACAGGACUUGGAACCCCAGCAGGGCAGAGCCGGUGGAGAUCUGAUCUGCAGGAGAAUUGGAGUUGAGUCAGAGAUUGUGGAACCACAGAGAGGACCUUUCUUAUUCAUGUCUCCACUUGCCAAAGGAAGAGCUGGAAGCGACUUUGGAAAGGUUGGCGGGCCCCCCACCAGUGUCGAUGGGCUCUGUGGGCCCGUGGCUCCCAGUGCCUUUGAGUCCAGGGCCGCGGCUAGGGAAGAGGCGGAGAGGAGAGGAAGCUGCCAUUUCUUGAGGCUCUGCCGCCUGCUGGACACUUUCUAGGGGUGAUCGUGUUACCUGUCUCACCCUCUUUCUGCAGAGGCAUGAGAAGCCCAUUUUUAUAGAGAAGGACACUGACGCUUGGCUGGGAGUAGAGCUCAGGCCAUUCGACACAGGUGGGGAGACCGAGCCUUCCUCUGUUUCAGCGCCUGUUAGUGGGACGUCGAUACUUUCCUUCUGUGCAAAGAACCUGGCCUGGCAGAGCAGGUCCGAAGUAGAAUAAGGGGGGCCACCUGGCCGCUCUCACCUCCCAGCCUGCUGAUUGUUUCCUGGACCCGGGACUGCCUUUGGGAAGGGGCUCCCCCACCAAGAAGCAGCCCUCAGGGGCUCUGGGACUGAGCAAGUCUCUCCCUGGACAGCAGCUUUGCUCCCGCUGAGCAGACAGGAAAGAGCACUGGGCUCCCUCCCCAGGAAGCGUGUGAAGAUUAAUUAGGUAAGUCUGCAAAGGGUUUGGACGUGAGAAGUAUGGCCUUUUUGUCUGCAGGUCCCUUCCCCAGGGAUGAGACACUUCAGUGGGGUGUAGAGAAACCCUGGGUGCCAUCGUGGGAAGAGGCUGUCCCUGCUUCUUGCCUUGCCCUCCUCUGUCCCCCGGAACCCAGGAUGCCCCCCUCCCCUCUGGUUCCUCCCCCAGCAAAUCAAUUUCAGCUGCAAAAGGAACAAGGCUAUUACAGUUAACACCACUCCGCCCGGAGUCGCCAGGUCUUCGCUAUUCAUCAUUCCUAAUUAAUUAAAAAGUAAUUACUUAUGGAUCUGACUUUCAUUAUUUACACCCUCCAGGCUGUGAGGAUAUUACUUUCCUCCAUCCCUCUGGUGCCCUAAACGGCUCUGGUGCCAGAAAUGCAGUGCCAAGCCUGGCAGGGGCCGAUUGCACGCGGGCAUCCUAGUUGGCAGGAUUUGAGUCCCCUUCAGAGGCCACAAGGGCCUCAGGGAUCUGCAGCCCCUUCUGAGCCCAGGAGGGGACUCUGAGGAGCUGGAGCUGCCCAGGUCUGCUGAGCCUGGCAGCUUAGCCUCCCCUGGACGGGAACAACCUCCAGACCCUGCUACUUAAGGCCUGGUCAUAGAUGAGCAGUAUCAGCAUCACCUGAGAGCUUUCUAGAACUGGCUGGCGACCCUUAGCUCGCACCGCACACCUGCCAAUUCAGAAUCUGCAAUUUGACACCCUCCUCAGGGCCUCUGGUGCAUGUUUGGGUGUGAGAAACGCUGCCCCAGUGAACAGAGGGCAAAGCUUACCUGUGCCAGCUCGUCCAGGUGCGGCAUGCACUGUGCAGGUGCUGUAUUACAUACCUCUCUUGGGGCCUGUGACUGCUGGUCCCUGCCCCUGGCCCCCCCUGGCUGGUGGGUGUGAUCUGUGUGCCUAGCCCAGGGUCCUCCGCGUGCCAGUUCCUGCCCUGUUCACCCCAUGAGUUGUCAGGAUUAAUCAGGCUGAUGGAUAUGAAAGUGCUUCGGAAACUCUAAGUGGAGCUUCCAAAGGCAUCCUAAUAAAUUUCCACCUGGCCCAUCACCAUUCACCAGCUUCCCAGGCUGUUCCCCAUAGUUUAGUCCUUUUCAAUUGCUUUCUUGCCCUCAAAAUUUAUUUGUUCAGAGUUCUAUCUGCUCCCUCCUGUCUGAGCAGGCGUAAUCUGCUAAAUGAAUCCAGGCUAAUCACUCAUGGAUAUGGGGUGAUAUUUCGUCCCUCUGAUCCCAUAACACAGUUGGAACACAAAAGGGCGUUUGACACAUGAGGCUUUCCCUCCUCGAAGGCUGAUGAAGUGUGCAAACUUGGCUGCAUUUCUCAGCCAUCACUGGCACGAGGGAUCUGCACCUGUGGUCACCACAGCCGCUCGCUUCUCAGGUCCAUAGAUGGAGUCCCCUCGCCCCUCUCCACACCUUCUAACGUCUGUGUUUCUUUUCCCAACAACACACGACAGGAUAAUGAACUGUGAUAUUAAAUGGUGAGUUGUUUUCAUUGCAGUCGAGGAAUCAGACUGUCUGGACCGAAUGGGUUUGGUUCUCUAUUUUGUGCUCCCUCAUUGGAGGGCAAAAAUGUGUUUGUUUGUCUUGGCUGAAGGCAGAAGCUGUGAAGACCGCCCUCUCUCUCUCCUCCUGGUCCUGGAGAAGUCUUCGCCCACCAAGCAGAUGGUGUUGGAUGACCAGAGUGGAGGAGAGAGGACUGUGCCUUGGAGGGGCAGAGACAGAAACAGCAAAAGGAGGGAAAUUCCCCCAAAGCAGGAAGGAGCAGAUGGGGGCUCCUUGAGUUCUGCUCCCUUGAGGUGUCCUAGGGGUGGGGGUUGUGGGGAGUGGGG